rnacentral:rRNA from 1 species
GGACGCAGGAGGCUAUGCGAUGGGGGCCAAUGGAUAUGGUCUCCUCCAAAGGCGUAGUUAGUCAGAGUUGGCAAAUCCGCUCUGGCGUUAAGACACGAGGCCAAGUAAGCAAGAUCCCACGGGAUCAAGAUCGUAGAUGCCAUGCUGCCGAGAAAAGCGGCGAAAGCCAGAUUAACGGGUGCUCGUACCCGAAACCGACACAGGUAGUCAGGUAGAGUAUACCAAGG